UACAUCAACUUUUGUUGGAAUACAAGAAUGUUUUUGCUGAACCGAAAGGGUUACCACCUAAACACACCCAUGAUCACAAGAUUCCUACUAUAGAGGGAGUGUCUCCAGUGAACAUUCGACCUUAUUAUGCUUGCAUUUCAAAAAGAUGCAAUCGAACAAAUGGUGAAUGAAAUGUUAGAAGCGGGAGUAAUUCAGCAUAGCACCAGUCCCUAUUCGAG
rnacentral:misc_RNA from 1 species